rnacentral:rRNA from 1 species
CCUACGGGCGGCAGCAGUGAGGAAUAUUGGUCAAUGGGCGUAAGCCUGACCCAGCCAAGUCGCGUGAGGGAUGAAGGUUCUAUGGAUCGUAAACCUCUUUUAUAAGGGAAUAAAGUGCGGGAGGUGUCCCGUUUUGUAUGUACCUUAUGAAUAAGGAUCGGCUAACUCCGUGCCAGCAGCCGCGGUAAUACGGAGGAUCCGAGCGUUACCCGGAUUUAUUGGGUUUAAAGUGUGCGUAGGCGGGCUUUUAAGUCAGCGGUGAAAGCCUGUGGCUCAACCAUAGAAUUGCCGUUGAAACUGGGAGGCUGGAGUGUGUUAGAGGCAGGCGGAAUGCGUGGUGUAGCGGUGAAAUGCGUAGAUAUCACGCAGAACCCCGAUUGCGAAGGCAGCUUGCCAAGCCAUGACUGACGCUGAUGCACGAAAGCGUGGGGAUCAAACAGGAUUAGAUACCCCAGUAGUC